rnacentral:rRNA from 1 species
CAGCAGCCACGGUAAAACGUAGGUGGCAAGCGUUGUCCGGAAUUAUUGGGCGUAAAGGGCUCGCAGGCGGUUUCUUAAGUCUGAUGUGAAAGCCCCCGGCUCAACCGGGGAGGGUCAUUGGAAACUGGGAAACUUGAGUGCAGAAGAGGAGAGUGGAAUUCCACGUGUAGCGGUGAAAUGCGUAGAGAUGUGGAGGAACACCAGUGGCGAAGGCGACUCUCUGGUCUGUAACUGACGCUGAGGAGCGAAAGCGUGGGGAGCGAACAGGAUUAGAUACCCCUGUAGUCCCUGUCUCUUAUAC